rnacentral:rRNA from 1 species
GGUAAUGUCUGGGAAACUGCCUGAUGGAGGGGGAUAACUACUGGAAACGGUAGCUAAUACCGCAUAACGUCGCAAGACCAAAGAGGGGGACCUUGGGCCUCUUGCCAUCGGAUGUGCCCAGAUGGGAUUAGCUAGUAGGUGGGGUAAGGCUCACCUAGGCGACGAUCCCUAGCUGGUCUGAGAGGAUGACCAGCCACACUGGAACUGAGACACGGUCCAG